rnacentral:rRNA from 1 species
ACGGCUCAGUAACACGUGGAUAACCUGCCCUCAGGUCUGGCAUAACCCCGGGAAACUGGGGAUAAUUCCGGAUAACGCAUAUAUGCUGGAAUGCUUUAUGCGUCAAAGGUCCUCCGCCUGAGGAUGGGUCUGCGGCCUAUCAGGUAGUAGCGGGUGUAAUGUACCUGCUAGCCGACGACGGGUACGGGUUGUGAGAGCAAGAGCCCGGAGAUGGAUUCUGAGACAUGAAUCCAGGCCCUACGGGGCGCAGCAGGCGCGAAAACUUUACAAUGCGGGAAACCGUGAUAAGGGGACACCGAGUGCCAGCAACAUUUGCUGGCUGUCCAGGUGUGUAAACUACACCUGUUAGCAAGGGCCGGGCAAGACCGGUGCCAGCCGCCGCGGUAACACCGGCGGCCCGAGUGGUGAUCGUUAUUAUUGGGUCUAAAGGGUCCGUAGCCGGUUUAGUCAGUCCUCCGGGAAAUCUGUCAGCUCAACUGAUAGGCUAUCGGGGGAUACUGCUAGACUUGGAACCGGGAGAGGUAAGAGGUACUACAGGGGUAGGAGUGAAAUCUUGUAAUCCCUGUGGGACCACCUGUGGCGAAGGCGUCUUACCAGAACGGGUUCGACGGUGAGGGACGAAAGCUGGGGGCACGAACCGGAUUAGAUACCCGGGUAGUCCCAGCCGUAAACGAUGCUCGCUAGGUGUCAUGCAUGGUGCGACCGUGUAUGGUGCCGUAGGGAAGCCGUGAAGCGAGCCACCUGGGAAGUACGGCCGCAAGGCUGAAACUUAAAGGAAUUGGCGGGGGAGCAC